CUCAAAAACUGGUUGCAAACUCAAAUGCUAUAUGGAACUAAGUGCAGCAGGCGGAAUGUGAGACAGAGUUGCAAUCAGAGGUGGCACAGAACAUUGGAAGAGAGGCCUCUGUUUGAUCUGUUCUGACCACUAUCAAAAGAGAUUGCACUGCACCCUAUCAGAAGAGCCAGGGAAUGGAAGAAAGUAGUUGGAUGUGUAGAAGGGAUGCUACCAGGCAUUGCAGGGGGAAGACUCAUCGCAAGGCUGGAAAGAGGAAACAAAAGAAAGAAGAAAACACAGUGAUCACUACUCUAUUCUGGGCAUUUUGCUCACACAACACAGAUGCCCCCCAAUAAUUCUGCAAAACAGUAAGUUUUAAAGGAAGAUGUCAUAUCUGCUAAUAUCUUUUUGAUUAAAUGAAAGCUAUAGAGCUGGGGUUAUGGAAGUUCAAAGCAAGGAUCUUUCAAAUGUGACUGGUAUCCAUGACUGAAAAUA
rnacentral:lncRNA from 1 species